rnacentral:lncRNA from 1 species
GCCUCAUGGAAUCCAGAAUGGACUAGGCCAUGAGUUGUGCCUGAGCCUCAGCUGGCUGUCCUGGGUCUCUUCACCACAGGACUGGAAUGAUGGCUGCUAUCUGUUCCAGAAAACUUCAAUAUUGCCUCAAGUGAAAAGGAAAAGCUCAUAUUUCAAGACCACUGACAUCAGCCCAUUCACAUCCUGCAAGAGGAUGGAUGCCAGUUCCUUUUACUGUGAAGAAAAGAGAGAUGCAUUAGCAUCCCUUCACCCAUCUCUCCACCAGUCUUUUUGGUUUGUAGAUCAGCCAGUCUGGCUGCUGUAACAGGAUUAAAAUGUAAUGUCUCCCAGCAAGCUAGUGAAUAUCAGCCCUCUUUCACCUUGUGGAUAUAAACGCCUUCUUUAGUGGAUAAAGCCAUUAGUUGAC